AGGAAAAGGAAUCUGUUGUUUUUCACAGCUUCGGAAAUGGGGAACAAGUUCUGCCUUCAUUUUACACUGAGUUAAGUAAAAAAUUGCAGAUGAUAUCACUAGUAUGAUAUGUGUUGGAUCACAGCUCUGCCUUCCACAGAGAGGCAAUUUUAGUAAAGAGCUUGCACCUUUGAUCUGGGUAGAAGGUACUGGAUCUGCAUGUUCUGGACUACUCGUUGCUGGGAUGCUUUCUACAGUACAGGCAGUGAAAAUUGUGAAAUAUCUGCCCCAUCAAUACAGAUCCUUGUUUGCUUUGACAAACUCAGUGGGAGUCAACAGUUCAUUAAAUACCACUUCUGAAACAGCAGAGGAGGAAGUUUUUGAGAUGUGCUUUAAGAAGGGAUGGAUCAAAAGCUUCGUCAUUAUUCCUUUAUGACUGUUUGCCCAUAGGAAUGCAGGUAG